rfam:Gossypium raimondii chromosome 13, whole genome shotgun sequence.
UUGUAGUCUAGUUGGUUAGGAUACUCGGCUCUCACCCGAGAGACCUGGGUUCAAGUUCCGGCAA